rnacentral:rRNA from 1 species
GUCGNGGGGAUACGUANGGGAACUUACGCUAAUACCGCAUACGACCGAGAGGUGAAAACGGCGGACCGCAAGGCGUCGCGCGGCUGGAUGAGCCCAUGUCGGAUUAGCUAGUUGGCGGGGUAAAGGCCCACCAAGGCGACGAUCCGUAGCUGGUCUGAGAGGAUGAUCAGCCACACUGGAACUGAGACACGGUCCAGACUCCUACGGGAGGCAGCAGUGGGGAAUAUUGGACAAUGGGCGCAAGCCUGAUCCAGCAAUGCCGCGUGGGUGAAGAAGGCCUUCGGGUUGUAAAGCCCUUUUGUACGGGAAGAAAUCCUGUCGGUUAAUACCCGGCGGGGAUGACGGUACCGUAAGAAUAAGCACCGGCUAACUUCGUGCCAGCAGCCGCGGUAAUACGAAGGGUGCAAGCGUUAAUCGGAAUUACUGGGCGUAAAGCGUGCGUANGCGGUUGGCUAAGUCAGAUGUGAAAGCCCUGGGCUCACCUGGGNAUGGCAUUUGAAACUGGCUGGCUAANUGUGGUAAAAGAUGGCCAAUUCC